GAUGAACGCUAGCGGCAGGCCUAAUACAUGCAAGUCGGACGGGAUUCAGGAGCUUGCUUCUGAUGAGAGUGGCGCACGGGUGCGUAACACGUAUGUAACCUACCUUUAUCAGGGGGAUAGCCUCUCGAAAGAGAGAUUAAGCCCGCAUAAAAUCACAGCACAGCAUUGUGUAUUGAUCAAAUAUUUAUAGGAUAAAGAUGGUCAUGCGUAACAUUAGCUAGAUGGCGGGGUAACGUCCCACCAUGGCGACGAUGUUUAGGGGAUCUGAGAGGAUGGCCCCCCACACUGGUACUGCGACACGGACCAGAAUGCUACGGGAGGCAGCAGUAAGGAACAUUGGGCAAUGGGCGGAAGCCUGAACCAGCCAUGCCGCGUGCAGGAAGACGGCCCUACGGGUUGUAAACUGCUUUUAUACGGGAAUAAACCCAGAUACGUGUAUCUGGCUGAAUGUACUGUAAGAAUAAGGAUCGGCUAACCCCGUG
rnacentral:rRNA from 1 species